rnacentral:lncRNA from 1 species
UUCUUGAGUGAACCGAUUGCUAAACUAUUGUUUAUUGGAUCCAUGAGGGGUUCGGGAUAUUGAUUUACUUGCAUUAAGUAAUCAUUUGUUGAAAUUCUAAGUGGAAAGGUAAUUGUGGUAAGGUUGAGUCUACUGUUAUUAGUCAUGAGGUUGACUUGGUGGAAUGCUUGUACUUGUCUUAUGCUUGUCUGAUUCGCUUGGUUAUUGUUGAGAAAAUACUGAGUGAAGGCAUAAA